rnacentral:lncRNA from 1 species
AAGGGAGCCAAGAGAACAUAAUAUCGAAUGGCAAACUGGUAGGAGGAGAGACAAUCCAAUUUGAGCAAGAGAGCAGUCUCUGACAGAGAUCAACUGCAGAGAGAGAGGGGGAGGAGCAAGAAGAAAAAACUGAAAAUUCCAGGAGAGAACCAGAAGCUUGGAGAACUCCAACUGGCCACUCACUCACUUCCAGUUGGGAGCCUGUGGAAAGAGAUCCUUAAUUUUUGUAUUAUCCAUAUCACCACUAUUCCACCUAUUAAAAGAGAUGACUGACAACGGAUUCCAGUAUAUAACUCAAAGUCCAGAAUAUGACUGGUCACUGAUAUGGGGAUUAUCUCAGAAUCAUCCUUCUAUUUGCAAUCAGACAAUCGACUCAUUUAAGUAAAGGUAAGCAUCAAUAUCAAAUUAAAAGGCUAAAGAUGGGAAAAUCCAUAUAAUUGCAAUUACUUCUACCUGUUCUAUUCAAUUGUUGAGGCUCUAAAGAAUGCAGGCUCACACCAGGUCAAAGGAUGCGUGCAUGGCUAAAGUCAAUUACUAUUCUGACUAGAAGAAUUCAUUUCUUCCUUCUUUCAAGUUUCAUAGUUAAACUCAUAGAAUUUAUGUUAAUCACAUGAUUUCUUCAUUAUUUUGGAAGUCAUGGCUGAUUUUGUAGGAUCUAAAUUAAAGCCUGGGCACCAAGAAUUAGAAAACAGAAGCAAUCAUAGAAUCUCUUACCAAGAGUAGAAGCAAGAAUCUGGAGAAAAUACAAAUAAUCAGUUAAGAUACUGAGAAAAAAGAGAAAGGAAAGGCUUUAUUUCCCUACUGGCCCAAGUAUGGAGUAAAAUGAAAAUAUCUAAACCAAGACUUGGAUAUUGAAAUCUUUUUUUAAAUAGAAAAUUUACUGUAAUUGUAUUAUAUUUUCAUUAUUUCUAGGCUAUUCAAUCCAAUAAGUGUUUAUUGAGUGCCUACCUAGUAAGUGGGUUGAGCACCAUUGAGGUACAAAAGAAAUAAAAGAACUUUUUUGAUUUCCA